AGAGUUUGAUCCUGGCUCAGGAUGAACGCUAGCGGCAGGCGUAAUACAUGCAAGCUGAACGGUAAAUGGUGUAGCAAUACACUAUGAGAGUAGCGUAAGGGUGCGUAACACGUAUGCAAUCUGCCCUGUACAGGAGGAUAGCUCGGCGAAAGCCGGAUUAAUACUCCGUAAGAUAUUGGUGGGGCAUCCCACAGAUAUUAAAGUCGCAAGAUGGUACAGGAUGAGCAUGCGUCUGAUUAGCUAGUUGGUAGUGUAACGGACUACCAAGGCGAUGAUCAGUAGGGGAACUGAGAGGUUGAUCCCCCACACUGGCACUGAGAUACGGGCCAGACUCCUACGGGAGGCAGCAGUAGGGAAUAUUGGUCAAUGGAUGCAAGUCUGAACCAGCCAUGCCGCGUGCAGGAAGAAGGCCUUCUGGGUUGUAAACUGCUUUUGCCGGGGGAUAAAAUUCCCAUGCGUGGGACAUUGAAGGUACCCGGUGAAUAAGCCACGGCUAACUACGUGCCAGCAGCCGCGGUAAUACGUAGGUGGCAAGCGUUGUCCGGAUUUAUUGGGUUUAAAGGGUGCGUAGGCGGCCUAUUAAGUCAGUUCUGAAAUAUCCCGGCUUAACCGGGAGGGUGGGAUUGAUACUGAUGGGCUUGAGUGGACUCGAGGUAGGCGGAAUUGACGGUGUAGCGGUGAAAUGCUUAGAUAUCGUCAAGAACACCGAUAGUGUAGACAGCUUACUAGAUUUCAACUGACGCUGAGGCACGAAAGUGUGGGGAUCAAACAGGAUUAGAUACCCUGGUAGUCCACACUGUAAACGUUGAUUACUCGCUGUGUGCGAUAUACAGUACGCGGCUUAGCGAAAGCGAUAAGUAAUCCACCUGGGGAGUACGCCGGCAACGGUGAAACUCAAAUGAAUUGACGG
rnacentral:rRNA from 1 species